rnacentral:rRNA from 1 species
CUUUCUCUCAGACAGCCAGGAGGUUGGCUCAGAAGCAGCCACCCUUUAAAGAUAGCGUAACAGCUCACUGGUCGAUGAGAGGGGGCGACUAAGAUUUAUCGAGGAUAAGUUACGUGCCGAAGCUAGAGAUUUUACAUCCAAUUUAUUGGGUGUGGAGUGGUAGGGGAGCGUUCCAACCGCAGUGAAGGUGAACCGGAAGGUUUGCUGGAGCGGUUGGGAGUGAGAAUGUCGGCUUGAGUAGCGCACAAGAAAGGUGAGAAUCCUUUCCGUUGAAUGUCCAAGGUUUCCACUGCAAGAUUCGUUCUCAGUGGGUUAAUCGGUACCUAAGGCGAGGCCAAAUGGCGUAGUCGAUGGAUAAUUGGUCAAAAUUCCAAUAUUUAUACUAAAUCGUUAUUAACUAGGGAUUGACUGAACAGGAGUUUGGGAGCUCUUUAUUGAAUUAGAGUGCAGAAGCUGAAGCAGUUCUGGCUGGAAAAUCCGUCAGAAUGUUUAACUAAAGUGGUGCAAAGUUCUCCGCGAGGAGGGCGAUUCCAAAAUUUUCAGUUUACGAGAAAAGAUUCGUAGUGAGAGUUAGUAUAAGCCGUACCGCAAACCGACACAGGUGGACUGGGGGAGUACCCUAAAACGAUCGAGAGACAAAUCCUCAAGGAACUCGGCAAAAAAACUACCCGUAACUUAGGAAGAUGGGUUGCCUUGGUUAAAAACAAGGCUGCAACUAAAGUUUAUUGGUCGACUGUUUAUCAAAAACACAGGCCCGUGCAAAGGCGAAAGCUGAAGUAUACGGGCUGACGCUUGUCCAGUGCCGGUAAGUUAAGAGGAGAGGUGCUAGCCGCAAGGUUAAUGCUUCGAAUUUAAGCUCCGGUGAACGGCAGCAGUAACUAUAACUGUUCUAAGGUAGCGAAGUUCCUUGCCAGGUAAGUUCUGGCCCGCAUGAAUAGCGUAACGAGCUAAUAACUGUCUUGAGGGUUUACUCGGCGAAAUAGCGAUGGCUGUGAAGACGCGGCCUACUUCUACAUGGACAAAAAGACCCCGUGGAGCUUUACUGUAGGUAGAUAUUGCUUUCAUAUUUUUUGAUUGUCUAGUAUAGGUGGGAGCCGCAAGGCAAAAAUGUAAUACCACUCGUCGGAGAAUGUGAGGCUUACUUAAUUCCGAUUAAGACUCGGAAAAGGAAAGUGUUUGCUGGGCAGUUUUACUGGGGCGGUACCCUGCUAAAUUGUAACGCAGGGACACAAAGGUUGGCUUUCUACCGAUGGAAACGGUAGUUUGAAGCGCAAAGGUUUAAGCCAGCUUGACUGUGAGGGAGAUGUCCCGAACAGGUACGAAAGUAGGUCUUAGUGAUCCUCCGAAGCACAAUGGGUGUGCUCGGAGCUUAAUGGAUAAAAGCUACCCCGGGGAUAACAGAGUAGUCGCGCCCGAGCGUCCAUAGCGACGGCGCGGUUCGCUACCUCGAUGUCGGCUCAUCACAUCCUGGCGCUGAAGAAGGUGCCAAGGGUCGGUCUGUUCGCCCGUUAAAGUGAUACGCGAGCUGGGUUCAGAACGUCGUGAGACAGUUCGGACUCUAUCCUGUAGAAGCGUCGGAAUCUUGAGGAGAGCUGGGGACAGUACGAGAGGACCUCCCUGGAGAAAUCCCUAGUGUGCCGGUUUUUGCGUCAGCAGAAACGCCGGGUAGCUACAUUUCUUUGUGAUAACCGCUGAAAGCAUCUAAGUGGGAAGCCAACUCCAAGAUUAGGAUUCCAUAUUAAAUCCCGGAAAGAAUAUCCGGUUAAUCGGCAGGCACUGGAAGUCCCGUAAGGGAUUAAGGUAACCUGUGCGAAUAGAUUGAUGCUUGCGGU